rnacentral:tRNA from 1 species
GUGUGGCUCAGUAGUAGAGCAUGCCCCUAGCAUGGGCAAGGUUCUUGGUUCAAUCCCCAGUAC